rnacentral:rRNA from 1 species
UAAAUAAAAAAGUUUAUUUUCCUUAGAUAGACGAUAAGACCCUAAAACCUUUAAUGAGAGUUUCUACUUCUUUUUGCUGGGGUGGCAAAUUAUAAUUUCAUAAUUUAUAAAAACACAAUGAAUGACUUCAAAUAACUUAAAUUAAAUUCAAAAAGGUACUUUAGGGAUAACAGCAUAAUUUUUAUAUAGAGUUACUUAUCGACAUAAAAGAUUAUGACCUCGAUGUUGAAUUGAUAACACUCUACUAAGCAGCCGUAGUAAUAUGUAAGUCCGUUCGACCUUUAAAUUAUCACAUGAUC